rnacentral:rRNA from 1 species
UAAGGAGGGGGCUAGCGUUGUUCGGAAUUACUGGGCGUAAAGCGCGCGUAGGCGGGCCGGUAAGUCGGGUGUGAAAGCCCAGAGCUCAACUCUGGAAUUGCCUUCUAUACUGGCGAACUGGAGCAUGGUAGAGGCGAGUGGAAUUGCGGGUGUAGCGGUGAAAUUCGUAGAUAUUCGCAGGAACACCAGUGGCAAAGGCGACUCGCUGGAUCAUUGCUGACGCUGAGACGCGAAAGCCUGGGGAGCAAACAGG